UGUUUGUACCUUUUGGUUGACCUCUGAGGAGUAGCUUGGAUACCUUCUUCCCCUUAACACUGUAGAGGCUCUCUCUGCAACAGAACUCCCUACAUCUCACAGCACCAGCCUCCAUUCUCCUACCAAGGAUGAUUUGUAUGUCCAGCCUUCUCUAGGACUUCUGCCAGAUUGGGUGAAUCCAAAAAAUACUGACCUUCUUAACAUCUCUUUGUAAAAACAGCUCUCAUUUCUCUGUUUUUAUAUUUCUUUUACUUUCCUCCUCUUCCUCUUCCUCCUCCUUCUCAUUUUCCUUCUUUUUUUUUUUUAGAGACAGGGUCUUGUUCUGUUUUCUAGGCUGGAGUGCAGUGGCAUGGUCAUAGCUCACUGCAGCCUCAAACUCCUGGGCUCAAACCAUCCUCCUGCCCCAGCCUCCCAAGUAGCUGGAUCUACAGGUGCUUGCCACCACGCUCAGCUAAACUAAAAAAAAAAAUCUUUUUUUUUUUUUUUUUUUUUUUUUUAGAGACUGGCUCUUGUAUUGUUGCCCAUGCUGAUCUCAAACUCCUGGCUUCAAGUGACCCUCCUGCAUCAGCCUCCCAAAGCACUGGGAUUACGGGUGUAUGCCAUCGCACUGGGCCUGUUUUUCAUAUUUCAAAGACACGAAGCCACCUCAGUGGAAGAAGCCCAGGGUAAGUGGUGAGUUCCCCAGGGGCGCUUGCUCCCUUCUGCCUGCUGCUCUUCCUGCCUUAGCUGGGGCUUUCAAUCUUGUGCUCCAAGGUGGCUGCCAGGACCCCAGAUGUCACAUCCCUUUCCCAAGCAUCAGGAUGGAGAGAGAAAGAAGGCCAUCCAGUGUCUCUUUGAGAAGACUCCCUGGAAUAAUUGGUAAGAUUUCUACUUACAUCUCUGUUGGCCACACACCUGGACACAAGGCCACACGUGCUUCAAGUUAGCUGCGAAGUGGGGGCUCUUUCCAGAGGAGAACAUCACAGCCAAGCCUCUCAUUCAUUUCUGACUCAGAACGGGAGAAUGAAUGUUGGGUGACCAGUAACCUGGCAUGCCUCCUGUGCUAUCACCAUGAGCUAGGACAAUGAGAGAUAUGUGCUUCUGAGACAGGAAGUUGGCAGGACUGUUUUACAAGACCCAGCUCAAAAAACAAACAAACAAGCAAAAAACCAAAAAAAAAAGCCUGCUGAUAAAACAGGAUGCAGUAAAGAAGCCAGCCAAAACCCACCAAAACCAAGAUGGCUACACAAGCAACCUCUGAUCAUCCUC
rnacentral:lncRNA from 1 species